rnacentral:rRNA from 1 species
CCUACGGGUGGCUGCAGUGGGGAAUAUUGCGCAAUGGGCGAAAGCCUGACGCAGCGACGCCGCGUGAGGGACGACGGCCUUCGGGUUGUAAACCUCUUUCAGCAGGGACGAAGCGAAAGUGACGGUACCUGCAGAAGAAGCACCGGCCAACUACGUGCCAGCAGCCGCGGUAAUACGUAGGGUGCAAGCGUUGUCCGGAAUUAUUGGGCGUAAAGAGCUCGUAGGCGGUCUGUCACGUCGGAUGUGAAAACUCGGGGCUCAACCCCGAGCCUGCAUUCGAUACGGGCAGACUUGAGUUCGGCAGGGGAGACUGGAAUUCCUGGUGUAGCGGUGAAAUGCGCAGAUAUCAGGAGGAACACCGGUGGCGAAGGCGGGUCUCUGGGCCGAUACUGACGCUGAGGAGCGAAAGCGUGGGGAGCGAACAGGAUUAGAUACCCGAGUAGUCCA